UAUACCUACUGAAUAGAUUAAAUCUAAUUUAAAAUAAACAAUAAAAACAAAUUGACACAUUUCGCACGAUGGUAGGGCCACUGUUGUAUGUGAGACAUUGAGGAGGUAGAGGGAAAAUUUAAUUUAAGUAUUUCUGUACGUAAAGAUUAAUCAUAAUAAAACGCCGCCACACGAAUAAUUUUUAACGGAUUGUUAACGGAUUGAAAAUCACCAAGUCUCUAAAUACGAAAUCGGAAUUUCCCUAUAAAUAGCUCUAGCUAU